GGUUAAGCGACUAAGCGUACACGGUGGAUGCCCCGGCAGUCAGAGGCGAUGAAGGGCGUGCUAAUCUGCGAUAAGCGCCGGUAAGGUGAUAUGAACCGUUAUAACCGGCGAUACCCGAAUGGGGAAACCCAGUGUGAUUCGUCACACUAUCAUUAACUGAAUCCAUAGGUUAAUGAGGCGAACCGGGGGAACUGAAACAUCUAAGUACCCCGAGGAAAAGAAAUCAACCGAGAUUCCCCCAGUAGCGGCGAGCGAACGGGGAGGAGCCCAGAGCCUGAAUCAGCAUGUGUGUUAGUGGAAGCGUCUGGAAAGGCGCGCGAUACAGGGUGACAGCCCCGUACACAAAAGCGCAUGUGCUGUGAGCUCGAUGAGUAGGGCGGGACACGUGGUAUCCUGUCUGAAUAUGGGGGGACCAUCCUCCAAGGCUAAAUACUCCUGACUGACCGAUAGUGAACCAGUACCGUGAGGGAAAGGCGAAAAGAACCCCGGCGAGGGGAGUGAAAAAGAACCUGAAACCGUGUACGUACAAGCAGUGGGAGCACCCUUCGGGGUGUGACUGCGUACCUUUUGUAUAAUGGGUCAGCGACUUAUAUUCUGUAGCAAGGUUAACCGUAUAGGGGAGCCGGAGGGAAACCGAGUCUUAACCGGGCGUUAAGUUGCAGGGUAUAGACCCGAAACCCGGUGAUCUAGCCAUGGGCAGGUUGAAGGUUGGGUAACACUAACUGGAGGACCGAACCGACUAAUGUUGAAAAAUUAGCGGAUGACCUGUGGCUGGGGGUGAAAGGCCAAUCAAACCGGGAGAUAGCUGGUUCUCCCCGAAAGCUAUUUAGGUAGCGCCUCGUGAAUUCAUCUCCGGGGGUAGAGCACUGUUUCGGCUAGGGGGCCAUCCCGGCUUACCAACCCGAUGCAAACUGCGAAUACCGGAGAAUGUUAUCACGGGAGACACACGGCGGGUGCUAACGUCCGUCGUGAAGAGGGAAACAACCCAGACCGCCAGCUAAGGUCCCAAAGUCAUGGUUAAGUGGGAAACGAUGUGGGAAGGCCCAGACAGCCGGGAUGUUGGCUUAGAAGCAGCCAUCAUUUAAAGAAAGCGUAAUAGCUCACUGGUCGAGUCGGCCUGCGCGGAAGAUGUAACGGGGCUAAACCAUGCACCGAAGCUGCGGCAGCGAACGUAUCACCCAAGACAACUUUACGGAGUUGACGAUUGACGGAGCGAAGCGACGUCAAAGCGUUCAUUAAAGUCGAGUUGGCUUAGGGAUACGUUCGUUGGGUAGGGGAGCGUUCUGUAAGCCUGUGAAGGUGUGUCGUGAGGCAUGCUGGAGGUAUCAGAAGUGCGAAUGCUGACAUAAGUAACGAUAAAGCGGGUGAAAAGCCCGCUCGCCGGAAGACCAAGGGUUCCUGUCCAACGUUAAUCGGGGCAGGGUGAGUCGACCCCUAAGGCGAGGCCGAAAGGCGUAGUCGAUGGGAAACGGGUUAAUAUUCCCGUACUUGGUGUUACUGCGAAGGGGGGACGGAGAAGGCUAUGUUGGCCGGGCGACGGUUGUCCCGGUUUAAGCGUGUAGGUGUGUGUUCGGGUAAAUCCGGUUCACUUUAACACUGAGGCGUGACGACGAGGCACUACGGUGCUGAAGCAACAAAUGCCCUGCUUCCGGGAAAAGCCUCUAAGCAUCAGGUAACAUCAAAUCGUACCCCAAACCGACACAGGUGGUCAGGUAGAGAAUACCAAGGCGCUUGAGAGAACUCGGGUGAAGGAACUAGGCAAAAUGGUGCCGUAACUUCGGGAGAAGGCACGCUGACACGUAGGUGAAGUGAUUUACUCAUGGAGCUGAAGUCAGUCGAAGAUACCAGCUGGCUGCAACUGUUUAUUAAAAACACAGCACUGUGCAAACACGAAAGUGGACGUAUACGGUGUGACGCCUGCCCGGUGCCGGAAGGUUAAUUGAUGGGGUCAGCGCAAGCGAAGCUCCUGAUCGAAGCCCCGGUAAACGGCGGCCGUAACUAUAACGGUCCUAAGGUAGCGAAAUUCCUUGUCGGGUAAGUUCCGACCUGCACGAAUGGCGUAAUGAUGGCGGGCUGUCUCCACCCGAGACUCAGUGAAAUUGAACUCGCUGUGAAGAUGCAGUGUACCCGCGGCAAGACGGAAAGACCCCGUGAACCUUUACUAUAGCUUGACACUGAACAUUGAGCCUUGAUGUGUAGGAUAGGUGGGAGGCUUUGAAGUGUGGACGCCAGUCUGCAUGGAGCCGACCUUGAAAUACCACCCUUUAAUGUUUGAUGUUCUAACGUGGACCCGUAAUCCGGGUUGCGGACAGUGUCUGGUGGGUAGUUUGACUGGGGCGGUCUCCUCCUAAAGAGUAACGGAGGAGCACGAAGGUUGGCUAAUCCUGGUCGGACAUCAGGAGGUUAGUGCAAUGGCAUAAGCCAGCUUGACUGCGAGCGUGACGGCGCGAGCAGGUGCGAAAGCAGGUCAUAGUGAUCCGGUGGUUCUGAAUGGAAGGGCCAUCGCUCAACGGAUAAAAGGUACUCCGGGGAUAACAGGCUGAUACCGCCCAAGAGUUCAUAUCGACGGCGGUGUUUGGCACCUCGAUGUCGGCUCAUCACAUCCUGGGGCUGAAGUAGGUCCCAAGGGUAUGGCUGUUCGCCAUUUAAAGUGGUACGCGAGCUGGGUUUAGAACGUCGUGAGACAGUUCGGUCCCUAUCUGCCGUGGGCGCUGGAGAACUGAGGGGGGCUGCUCCUAGUACGAGAGGACCGGAGUGGACGCAUCACUGGUGUUCGGGUUGUCAUGCCAAUGGCACUGCCCGGUAGCUAAAUGCGGAAGAGAUAAGUGCUGAAAGCAUCUAAGCACGAAACUUGCCCCGAGAUGAGUUCUCCCUGAGACUUUAGGUCUCCUGAAGGAACGUUGAAGACGACGACGUUGAUAGGCCGGGUGUGUAAGCGCAGCGAUGCGUUGAGCUAACCGGUACUAAUGAACCGUGAGGCUUAACCUU
rnacentral:rRNA from 1 species